UACGUAGGGUGCAAGCGUUGUCCGGAAUUAUUGGGCGUAAAGGGCUCGUAGGCGGUCCAUCGCGUCGGGAGUGAAAAGCUGGGGCUUAACCCCAGUCCUGCUUCCGAUACGGGUGGACUAGAGGUAGGUAGGGGAGAUCGGAAUUCCUGGUGUAGCGGUGAAAUGCACAGAUAUCAGGAGGAACACCGGUGGCGAAGGCGGAUCUCUGGGCCUUACCUGACGCUGAGGAGCGAAAGCAUGGGGAGCAAACAGG
rnacentral:rRNA from 1 species